rnacentral:rRNA from 1 species
GACGAACCGUCCAAACGUUAUUCGGAAUUACUGGGCUUAAAGGGCGCGUAGGCGGCCGAGCGGGUCACGGGUGAAAUCCUUCAGCUUAACUGGAGAACUGCCCUUGAUACCACUGCGGCUCGAGGAAGGAAGGGGCAAUCGGAACUGUCGGUGGAGCGGUGAAAUGCGUUGAUAUCGACAGGAACGCCGGUGGCGAAAGCGGAUUGCUGGUCCUUUUCUGACGCUGAGGCGCGAAAGCCAGGGGA